GAGUUCUGAUUAUUGAAAGGUGCUUGCAUCUUGAUUUAAUUUUGAACGAGUGGCGGACGGGUGAGUAACACGUGGGUAACCUGCCCUUAAGUGGGGGAUAACAUUUGGAAACAGAUGCUAAUACCGCAUAAAUCCAAGAACCGCAUGGUUCUUGGCUGAAAGAUGGCGUAAGCUAUCGCUUUUGGAUGGACCCGCGGCGUAUUAGCUAGUUGGUGAGGUAACGGCUCACCAAGGCAAUGAUACGUAGCCGAACUGAGAGGUUGAUCGGCCACAUUGGGACUGAGACACGGCCCAAACUCCUACGGGAGGCAGCAGUAGGGAAUCUUCCACAAUGGACGCAAGUCUGAUGGAGCAACGCCGCGUGAGUGAAGAAGGCUUUCGGGUCGUAAAACUCUGUUGUUGGAGAAGAAUGGUCGGCAGAGUAACUGUUGUCGGCGUGACGGUAUCCAACCAGAAAGCCACGGCUAACUACGUGCCAGCAGCCGCGGUAAUACGUAGGUGGCAAGCGUUAUCCGGAUUUAUUGGGCGUAAAGCGAGCGCAGGCGGUUUUUUAAGUCUGAUGUGAAAGCCCUCGGCUUAACCGAGGAAGUGCAUCGGAAACUGGGAAACUUGAGUGCAGAAGAGGACAGUGGAACUCCAUGUGUAGCGGUGAAAUGCGUAGAUAUAUGGAAGAACACCAGUGGCGAAGGCGGCUGUCUGGUCUGUAACUGACGCUGAGGCUCGAAAGCAUGGGUAGCGAACAGGAUUAGAUACCCUGGUAGUCCAUGCCGUAAACGAUGAAUGCUAGGUGUUGGAGGGUUUCCGCCCUUCAGUGCCGCAGCUAACGCAUUAAGCAUUCCGCCUGGGGAGUACGACCGCAAGGUUGAAACUCAAAGGAAUUGACGGGGGCCCGCACAAGCGGUGGAGCAUGUGGUUUAAUUCGAAGCAACGCGAAGAACCUUACCAGGUCUUGACAUCUUUUGAUCACUGAGAGAUCAGGUUUCCCCUUCGGGGCAAAU
rnacentral:rRNA from 2 species